rnacentral:rRNA from 1 species
UACGUAGGGCGCAAGCGUUGUCCGGAAUUAUUGGGCGUAAAGAGCUCGUAGGCGGUCUGUCACGUCUGCUGUGAAAACCCGGGGCUUAACCCCGGGCUUGCAGUGGAUACGGGCAGACUAGAGGCAGGUAGGGGAGAAUGGAAUUCCCGGUGUAGCGGUGAAAUGCGCAGAUAUCGGGAGGAACACCGGUGGCGAAGGCGGCAUCCUGGACCAAUUCUGACGCUGAGGAGCGAAAGCCAGGGGAGCAAACGGG